rnacentral:rRNA from 1 species
ACACUGUACGAGUUUGAUCAUGGCUCAGAAUCAACGCUGGCGGCGUGCCUCAGACAUGCAAGUCGAACGAUUAAAGCUCUCUUCGGAGAGUGUAUAGAGUGGCGCACGGGUGAGUAACACGUAAGUAAUCUACCCUCGAGUGGGGAAUAACAACCGGAAACGGUUGCUAAUACCGCAUAAUGCAGCGGCACCGCAAGGUGACAGUUGUUAAAGAUUUAUCGCUUGAGGAGGAGCUUGCGGCAGAUUAGCUAGUUGGUAGGGUAACGGCUUACCAAGGCUACGAUCUGUAACCGGUCUAAGAGGACGGUCGGUCACACUGACACUGAAUAACGGGUCAGACUCCUACGGGAGGCAGCAGUCGGGAAUUUUGGGCAAUGGGCGAAAGCCUGACCCAGCAACGCCGCGUGAAGGAUGAAGUAUUUCGGUAUGUAAACUUCGAAAGAAUAGGAAGAAUUAAUGACGGUACUAUUUAUAAGGUCCGGCUAACUACGUG